GUACAGAAGAGCUCCGAGCAAAGACAGUGUUGGUUUUUGAAGUUCCAGCUGAAAGGCGUCCAUCUAGACUCUUCCCAGCUGUCUGCCAAGCUGCUGCACUACAUGAAGCAAGUCCUGCUCUAAGGGGGGGGGUGGACAUUCUGACCAUCUGCUGAAGAGCAUAGCAAAAGACGAGCACUUGCAUCUAAUAAUGAAGAGUCUGCUUGUCUGCAGGGUGUGCUGCUGUCCAGUCUAGCAUAUGCGCUCGCCAAUAGCAGCCAAUGGCGGAAUCUCUUGGUGGUGUAUGCAGAGUGGAUCCCCAGUGAGGUUACACCACGUUGCCACAGUGCUAAAACAAACAUUACACCCUGCUGCAAAGUCUUGCACCUGUGCGGGACUUAGCCGUGUCAGGAGGCCAGACAGGGCUACACCUGCCACCAUCACUGCCUUCCAAACCAAAUAAAAGGUUUUAAUUACCGCUGUCAUUUACAGAAGUUUGAAUUUUCUUGUAAAUAGCCUUUUUUUUUUUUAGCACAAAUUGCACAGUUAGAUAAUCUUAACACUGGUGUA